rnacentral:piRNA from 1 species
GCCUUGGGAUGUAUCACAGCUGCCUG